AUGGAAGUGAUGAUACUUUCCCCAAACGAUCGACGCUGAUUAUACUUUGCUGGUGCUCUUAGCACUUUGAAUCUGAUCCAU